rnacentral:rRNA from 1 species
UGGGGGAUAUUGCACAAUGGGGGAAACCCUGAUGCAGCGACGCCGCGUGAGGGAAGAAGGUUUUCGGAUUGUAAACCUCUGUCUGAGGGGACGAAACAAAUGACGGUACCCUCGGAGGAAGCCACGGCUAACUACGUGCCAGCAGCCGCGGUAAUACGUAGGUGGCAAGCGUUGUCCGGAAUUACUGGGUGUAAAGGGAGCGUAGGUGGGAACACAAGUAAAUCGUUAAAUUUAUGGGCUCAACCCAUAACCGCGGUUUAAACUGUGUUUCUUGAGUGUAGUAGAGGUAGGCGGAAUUCCUAGUGUAGCGGUGAAAUGCGUAGAUAUUAGGAGGAACACCAGUGGCGAAGGCGGCCUACUGGGCUAUAACUGACACUGAGGCUCGAAAGUGUGGGGAGCAAACA